rnacentral:tRNA from 1 species
UGGCUGUGUUGGUAGAGCAUGGUGUUUGCAACGCCAGGGUUGUGGGUUCGAUUCCCAC